rnacentral:tRNA from 1 species
GGAAGCGUGCCCGAGAGUUAAGGAACUCCUUGAUAGGGAAAAUCACAGAGGUUAAAAUCCUCUCACU